GGACAUAUAUCACCAAUCAGAACGUUCUUACAACACCAUGCAUGCAUACUCGAUGAAAUUCAUCUAGUAGGGUAUGUUUGAUUUGCAGGAAUAGGGGUCCAGAAUCGGAAUGGCAAUCCCCCAAUCAGAAUCCCAUUCCCACUAUUUAAUAUAAGAAAAAACCAAAAUGACAAAAUACCCCUCAAAUCUCUAUCUACUCGAAUCCAACUUUCUAACCCUCACUCAUCCUUUCGUCACUCCCUCCUCCGGCAGAAGUUCGAAGUACUGAUCUGAAUCGAAACUCCGGCGAUAGUGACGACGAGUUUUUCCACUGCAGACCAGGCCAGGCCAAACCACAACAAGCUUCCAGCGGAAAGGAUUUUUCGGUUCUAGUCUCCAAGACCAAGGACACAACAGUAGCAGAAACAAUGGACUACACUGACCUUCCACACUCUCAGAUAGGAAAAGUCAUAGCUUCACGCUUGCUACUUUCAAGACAAACUAUUCCUCAUUACUAAUUGACAGUGAACACAUGUGUUGACAAACUUAUGGAUCUAAAGCAGGAGAACCAGCUGUUUUCUUCCUUAUGAGAUAUUUCUCCAGACCUACAAGGUGCUAAAACACACUUUGAUCAGCAAGUGCAUGCAUGAACGCCCACCUCUCACUAAGAUCAAGGAUUUUGUACUAUGCUCGUUCAACUUGAAAGCUGAGACCUAAGCAACUUCUUUAGACUCAAAACACAUUUUGAUUCAUUUCUCUAUAGAGGAAGAUUUUCCGAAGAUCUAGUUAAAAGAGGUGUUUAAGAUCUAAUCUUUCUUGUUUCAUUUGAUGAAAUGGACAUUUGAUUUUGAGUCAGUUUGGAGACUUUUGUAAUUCCACUUUGGAUCAAUUUUCCCUACCUACCGGUGAUUUUUUUUUUUUUUUUUUGUGAACUUGUUUCUAUCGAUUGCAAUGUUAUUGGGCAUGUUCUGAAAUACGGUUUAUCUCAUUUAAAUCUACUCGAAGACCACCCUCAAUGGGUGUGGAUUGGU